AAAAAUCACCACCGUAAACAACCCGAAAUAACCUCAAAAAUCCGCCGUUUCAGCAGAGAUGGCUGUAAUGUAUAAGUCGAAAUGUGGUGUGUAUAGUCUUUUUUUUUUUUUUUUUUUCCCUUUCCCUAGGCUUUUUGUUUUUCUGUCUGUCUGUCGGGGAGGCAUCCCCAUCCCGGUGCGCCCCGUCGGGGUCUGGACGGGAGGUGGGAGAUGCGACUUCUCCCCCACUUCUUGGAGACCCCAUUCCCCGCCGGGGAACUCGAUGCUGUCGGUCGGCUAAUGAGGCGGUGGGACUUUGUUUAACCCCGUUGCCCCCGGGGCCAGGGGUCAAGGGCUUCCUCUUCCCCCGGGACAUGGCAGAGAGGCCGUCGGUCACAACACGAGGACCGCGGCGGGGAGGGGGAUGUGACGGCCGCAAUGUUCCCCCCGCCCCGCCGCGACCCUCACGUGCGAUCGGCGUAGGACCCCGAAAACCUUCAUGUCUCCCCGGCAUCGAGAGGCUGAGGAAGGCUCCAUGUGGGUGUUUUGGGGGAGCAAGGGGCGGUCAAACAUCACCACGGGGCAGAGGGGAAUGCGAAGAAGCGGCUCCUGCCCUCCAGCAACCCCGGCUCUGCCUUCCACUCCCAACUGGAGCAGGACGUUUUUAUCGGAGUACUGAUUUUAUCGGGGUUUCACCCCCUCCCUCCACAGGCAGAGAUAUCUUAGCUGCCCCCCCCGGAGCCAAGAAAUGGGAGAGAAACGGGCAAUUUUUAUAGGUGACGUACGGGCUUACGUGAGAAUCCGUGCCCAGCACUGCUCUUUUUUCUCCUGAAAUAACCCUUCCGUGCAGCUCGCACCCCCCUAUUCCGGCUCGCACCCCCUUUUCAAGGCUGGGGGGGUAAGUCGGGAGAGGGGGAAGCGAAAGAGAAAAGAAAAGCACUCCCCAACAUCCCGCUCUUUUCCUGCUCGGGCAGCGAGCACCGGAGCUCCCAAAGUGAGUGGCGAAGAGAGCGACGAGAGACAGGCGGGAGCCGUCUCCGAGGUGGAGGGGUCGGGAGUGGGAUGAGAAUAGGGGAGGACCGUCCUUUUCGGGAUCAAGGGAGAACCAGCGAAGGAAGGAGGCUGGCGGCACCGCGGGCAUCCGAGAAAACCUGUCUGGGGAUCCCUGUGUAUUCAUCGGGGCUGCGAGAGACUCCCCAGAGCCGCUCCGGGGCAUCGGUGGAGUGAAUCGGAGAUAAAAAAUAGGAGCCAGGUUAAACGCAGGAAGGAAGAGGAGGAGAGGUCGGAAGCGAAGUAAAGCUCCCGCCGCCCUGCCCCGACCGUGCCCGCACCCUGGAGCGGACGGACGAACGGACAGACAGAUGGCCGGCAUCCCCGACGGAGGGAUGUUUCUGUCUUUGGUUAUCUAGCUGUAUGAGUGUUGUGGAGCCAUCAUAAAGCUAGAUAACCGAAAGUAGAAAUGACUUCCAGACCUGCUCGCCCGGGGGAAGCGGCCGCACCAGGACCGGCGGUGCAGAGACGGCCCGACUCGCCGCCCUGGCGCUCCAGGGCCAGCAAAGCACCGCCAUAACCACAGUAAGGAAAAAGGAUCUCAGCCUGAAUUUGGCUAUACCGGGAGAAAGAAAAGUUCUGAGGAGCUGUUAUUAUAUAUUCUAAUGAGAAGUCAUUGGAGAAAUUAAAAAGGGCAGAGAAAGACGAAGACGCCAGCACUAAUUCCGCAGGAAGCCUCCCAGGGAAAAGGCUGUGUGAGUGUGAACGCUGAAAAGCAUGAAGGCCUGGAAUUAGACUAUCAUUUAGAAAGCGUUACUAAUCCGAAGUUACAGCAGUAAUUCCAUGAUUUGCUGGGUCCCACACGCAGCGCCAGAAUUAAAGAUACGGAUUUUCUAGAAAUGUAACUCAACUGUGGCACCGAGUCUCGGGAAGAUCCGAAUGAAUCAUUCAUUCCAAAGGCAGCGAAAGACGUGUCAUUAAGAACCAUCCUCCUUCUAUCCAGCCCAUCUGGAAUAUGUAUACUCGAUGCAAUCCCAGAAAUUGUGGAAGAGAUUGGAGACAUGACUGAGAGUUCCUGGAGUGGGAUGCCUUGGGAAGGGCUGGGACGUCUCCACCUGAGCAAGGAGAGAUCUCAGUGAGCGGAGAAGGGAUUUUUCAAGCCUGUGGGUUCCUUUUUGCUGUUGGCUACCGCCUGUCCGGACUUGCCACCUGACUUCUUCAAGUUUCUCCAAGAGGGUCUCAACUGCUUCUCCAUUGGCCCCAGAGAAGAGGCAGCUUUGACUCAUGAGCACAGCGGGUUUCUGCAUCACUUCGAAUCAUGCCGGUCCACCCAUGGGGAGGGAGCCAGGGCAACACAAGGGAUCAUCCCACAUCACUCCUGUAUGUUGCCUUCAGUGCCCUCAAUGCCCCUGAGCAGGACCGAAGUGCUUAGACAGAGAGACCCAAGCCAGUCACUGUGACACCUGGUGAAAUACCGGGUGUGUGUGAAGAUUGGAGGGAGCUUUUAGCCCCCAGCUUUGCUCAUGGAGCAAAGCUUGGCCCUUGCUGCUCUUGAUCCCUGGGUCUGUGGAGCUGUGGGAGCGCAGCCUUCCCGAAGGCACUGUGCUUGUGGCUCAGAGGACCCCGAGCCUGUCCAGGCCAGACAGCCCUGCUGCUGUUGUACUACACCCUCUCUGUUCCUGUAAGAGAAAUGAACUGCCUGUACUUAUCUCCCAUUCAAAUCCCGCCCCCCCAUGCACUGUUGAAAAUAAACUCUCCCUUUUG